rnacentral:rRNA from 1 species
AUUGAACGCUGGCGGCAUGCUUUACACAUGCAAGUCGAACGGCAGCGCGGGCUUCGGCCUGGCGGCGAGUGGCGAACGGGUGAGUAAUACAUCGGAACGUGCCCAGUAGUGGGGGAUAGCUCGGCGAAAGCCGGAUUAAUACCGCAUACGACCUGAGGGUGAAAGCGGGGGAUCUUCGGACCUCGCGCUAUUGGAGCGGCCGAUGGCAGAUUAGCUAGUUGGUGGGGUAAAGGCCUACCAAGGCGACGAUCUGUAGCUGGUCUGAGAGGACGACCAGCCACAUAGGAACUGAGACACGGCCCAGACACCUACGGUAGGCAGCAGUGGGGAAUUUUAGACAAUGGGCGAAAGCCUGAUCCAGCAAUGCCGCGUGUGGGAUGAAGGCCUUCAGGUUGUAAAGCACUUUUGGCGGGAACGAAAAGGACUGUGCCAAGACUACGGUGCGAGGACGGUACCCGCAGAAUAAGCACCGACUAACGUCGU